GAGCAAUGGAAAAUAAGCAUGAUGACCUUCAUGGGAAGGAGGAAGGAACCUCAAUGUAAUUUCUAAGUGGGAAAGGAGGAAUCCAGAAGAUAAAAGCAGAAUAGAGGCUGGCUACAGACAGAGGUUCCUGGUACCAAAAAAAAGUAAAGAUUUAUCUCAGCUGUCAGUGUGUUGAAGGAUUUUGUUUUAAUAAAGCUGAAAUUAUAUCUUACA
rnacentral:lncRNA from 12 species